rnacentral:lncRNA from 1 species
UGCCACCCUCCGCUACCGGCAGCUCUCCGCCACCUGGAAACGCACCGGAAGAACCGGGCGGGGGUCCGGCGCUGUCCAGCAGCCCCCCCCCCAAAAUAAAAAAGGUUUACCGUCACCGGGAGGUGCCCCACGGCCCGGCGUCACCGGGAGGAACCGCCGCCUCUCCGGAACGCCGGAGGUGCCCUAAGGGGGGGGGGGGNNNNNNNNNNNNNNNNNNNNNNNNNNNNNNNNNNNNNNNNNNNNNNNNNNNNGUUCCUCCCGUCGGCGCGGCCCGGUGCUCAAACGGCGGCGGGUUCGGGCCGUUCUCAGGUACCGAACGGCGGCCGCGCUGCGCUCUUCGCCAGCCGCUCCCGGUGCCGCUCCCGGUGCGCGACCGCGGCAUCCCGACGCACACAAAGACCCGAGCGUUUCCAUUCGGUUCGGUUCGGUUCCCGGUAAACGACGCUACCUGGGGUUGCUCCCGUUCCAAUAAACACCGUGGCGGCGGCCGCGCACCGGAGGCGGCGGAGCCCAAAGCAACGGAGCCCAAAGCAGCAGCCCGAGCAGCGGCGCGGGGCGCAUGGCUCCGCCGGCGGCGGGCGGGCGGGCGGGGGGCGACGGCGGGGGCGGCGGCGGCGGCGGCGGCGGACGGAGGCGGGGGCCGGGGGCGGCCCGGCACGGCACAGCACGGCCCGGCCCGGCCAAGAGCCGCCCCGCCCCGCCAACUUCGGGCCAAUCCGAGCCGCGCCACCGCCCGGCAACUUCGGCGAGUGCCAUUAACCCUUUUUUUGGGGGGUGGGCGGCAUCGGUACCGGUGGUCCGGUAUCGAAUGGUUUCGAAUCGGGAUGGAUGGGGAGAGGCUGGAACGCGCGGUGCUGUGCGGCGCUGUGAGGAUCGGUUACCGGGAGCCGAGAGUAGGUGGUCGGUACCGAGCGCCGAGCACCGCCUGCAGACGGUACCGGGCACGGGGCACCUCUCGUAGUCGGUACCGAGCGCCGAGCGCUUCCUGCAGCCGGUACCGAGCACGGAGCGCUUCCUGCAGCCGGUACCGAGCACGGAGCGCUUCCUGCAGCCGGUACCGAGCGCUUCCUGCAGCCGGUACCGAGCACGGAGCGUCUCUUGCAGCCGGUACCGAACACGGAGCGCUUCCUGCAGCCGGUACCGAGCAUCUCUCGCAGCCGGUACCGAGCACCGAGCACUUCUUGCAGCCGGUACCGAUCACGGAGUACCUCCUGUAGCCGGUACCGAGCACGGAGCGCUUCCCACAGCCGGUACCGAACACCUCUCGCAGCCGGUACCGAACACUUCCCGCUGCCGGUACCGAUCACGGAGCACCUCUUAUAGCCGGUACCGGCAACUCGAACAGCAGCGAACCGCCAGCCCAACGCAACCGGAACCGAGCGCUACCGACACCCGCUGCUGCCCGACCCGUUGCUCCGCUGCUGCUCCCGGAGCUCCUGUGGGACCCCCACCCACCCCCCCACCCCGAACCCC